rnacentral:rRNA from 1 species
AGAGUUUGAUCCUGGCUCAGAAUGAACGUUGGCGGCGUGGAUUAGGCAUGCAAGUCGAGGGAGAACCCGCAAGGGGGACACCGGCGAACGGGGUAGGAAUACGUAGGUAACGUACCCUCAGGACGGGGAUAGCCACGGGAAACUGUGGGUAAUACCCGAUGAUCUGGUUCGGUUUGAUUAUCGAAUCAGCAAAGGUGAGAUUCCACCUGAGGAGCGGCUUACGCGAUAUUAGCUUGUUGGCGAGGUAACGGCUCACCAAGGCUGCGAUAUCUAGGGGGUGUGAGAGCAUGGCCCCCACCACUGGGACUGAGAUACUGCCCAGACACCUACGGGUGGCUGCAGUCGAGAAUCUUCGGCAAUGGGCGAAAGCCUGACCGAGCGACGCCGCGUGCGGGACGAAGGCCUUCGGGUUGUAAA